CCUAAUUGAAAAAUUAAAAAAAAAAAAAACAAAUGUAUCGUGUACAUUCCCAUUACCAUAUAUGCAAAUUCCAUUUUCCGUUCCAUGUCGCGGGACAUUAGAAUGGUCAUGUAGUUGACAAAUUCCAUGGGCGUCACGUGUUUCCUGCCACCUGCGAUUAGGGUUACGAUGCGAUCCACCACGUCCAUGUCAUAUAGCUGCUGGAAACCGAUCACAAUGUUCACAAACUGGCUGGAUGUUAUUCGGCGAGCAGAGGGCCCAUUCUGGAGACUAUACUUGUAGUAGAUCAUCAGGAUGCAGGUCACCUCAGAGUCGUUGAAGGGCACCAGUCGGGCGAUCUGGGGAACAAGUCCGCCAUAAACCGACUGAAACCGCUGAUUGAAACGGUCGUUCAUGGUAAGGUCCAACUUCAUCUUUGCUGGUAUUGAUACAAGAACAUGUGAAAGCAACGCAAAGAACUCAAUAUAAAGUAACAACAAUAAAUAUAAACAAUAAACUAACUGCUACUAAUUGAAGGGAAAAGCAUUAAAGAUGUGAUUAAAUAGUUUUCUCUUCUU
ensembl:ncRNA asRNA:CR44235 antisense RNA:CR44235